AGAACGAACGCUGGCGGCAUGCCUAACACAUGCAAGUCGAACGAGACCUUCGGGUCUAGUGGCGCACGGGUGCGUAACGCGUGGGAAUCUGCCCUUAGGUACGGAAUAACAGUGAGAAAUUACUGCUAAUACCGUAUGAUGUCUUCGGACCAAAGAUUUAUCGCCUAGGGAUGAGCCCGCGUUGGAUUAGCUAGUUGGUGGGGUAAAAGCCUACCAAGGCGGCGAUCCAUAGCUGGUCUGAGAGGAUGAUCAGCCACACUGGGACUGAGACACGGCCCAGACUCCUACGGGAGGCAGCAGUGGGGAAUUUUCCGCAAUGGGCGAAAGCCUGACGGAGCAAGACCGCGUGGGGGAAGAAGGCUCUUGGGUUGUAAACCCCCUUUUCUCUGGGAAGAACGCAAUGACGGUACCAGAGGAAUCAGCAUCGGCUAACUCCGUGCCAGCAGCCGC
rnacentral:rRNA from 1 species